UACGAAGGGGGCUAGCGUUACUCGGAAUUACUGGGCUUAAAGGGUGCGUAGGCGGCGCAGUAAGUUGGGUGUGAAAUCCCUCGGCUUAACCGAGGAAUUGCGCCCAAAACUACUGUGCUCGAGGGAGGUAGAGGUGAGCGGAACUUAGGGUGGAGCGGUGAAAUGCGUUGAUAUCCUAAGGAACACCGGUGGCGAAAGCGGCUCACUGGACCUCUUCUGACGCUGAGGCACGAAAGCGAGGGUAGCAAACAGG
rnacentral:rRNA from 1 species